CCUUUCUGCCCUCUGCCAUGUGAGGUCACAGUGUUCCUCCCUCCUGAGGAUGCAGUGUUCAUGAAAGCAAACACUGGGCCCUCACCAGGCAACAAACCUGCUGGUGCCUUCAUCUUGGACUUCCCAGCCUUCGGAACUGUUAAGAAGCUCCACUGCGCUUUGUCCAUUGCAAGUUGAGAAGUGAGGCCCCAGCUGUCACAUACAGUGAGUGAAGAAGCUGAGCUUCCCUCAACGCCUGGGCCUGUAUGAAUUUUUUUUUUUUUUUUUUUUUUGGAGACGGAGUCUCACUUUGUUGCCCAGGCUGGAGUGCAAUGGCACUAUCUCAGGCCACUGCAACCUCUGCCUCCCAGGUUCAAGCGAUUCUUCUGCCUCAGCCUCCUGAGUAGCUGGGAUUACAGAAGUGCACCAUUACAGCUUGCUAAUUUUUGUAUUUUUAGUAGAGAAGGGUUUUCACCAUGUUGGCCAGGUUGGUCUCGAACUCUUGGCCUCAGGUGAUCCGCCCGCACAGCCUCCCAAAGUGUUGGGAUUACAGGCGUGAGCCACUGCGCCCGGCCUUAGGCUCCAUCACAAGAGGGAGCCCCAUUGCUAGUCCCCAUCCUCAAAGCCUCUGCGUGAUGUUGUCUACUGUUACUCUUCACUACCCUGUGGGAGCCAAAGCCCUGGACAUAAGAACAGAAGGCAAUGGUGGCUGAGAGGAAGAACUGACACCUUUGUGCUAUCAGAGCACUUUGCAGAGGAGCUGUUAGUGGCCCUGUAGGAGUCUGCUGGCCAUACAUCUGGGUGUCAAAUCAAGAGAGCAUGAGAAGUUGGACAGGAAAGGUCCAAGGCAAAAUGGUUACUAAAGGCCAUCCCUGAUCCUGACCCUAAAAGAAGAAAAGGCCCUUUGCUCUUGGCAUGCUUUUGCAGGAGUGUCUCAGUCUGUUUGGGCUGCUAUAACAUUGACUGGGUGAUCUGCCUGCCUGGCCUCCCAAAGUGCUGGGGUUACAGGUGUGAGCCGCUGCACCAGGCCUUGAGGUCAGGAGUUCGAGACCAGCCUGGCCAACAUGGUGAAACCUGUCUUUACUAAAAAUACAGAAAUUAGCCAGGCAUGGAGGCGCAUGCCUGUAAUCCCAGCUACUGGGGAGGCUGAGGCAGGAGAAUCGCUUGAACCCAGAAGGUGGAGGUUGCGGUGAGCCCAGAUAGUGCCAUUGCACUCUAGCCUGGCCAACAAGAGUGAAACUCUGUCUCAAAAAAUAAAUAAACAAACAAACAAAC
rnacentral:lncRNA from 1 species